rnacentral:tRNA from 1 species
GGGGGUAUAGCUCAGCUGGUAGAGCACCUGCCUUGCACGCAGGGAGUCAGCGGUUCGAGUCCGCUUACCUCCA